AAGAGAUCGGGAUAACACCUGGAAACAGAUGCUAAUACCGGAUAACAACAGAUGUUGCCUAUCAACUGUUUAAAAGAUGGUUCUGCUAUCACUCUUGGAUGGACCUGCGGUGCAUUAGCUAGUUGGUAGGGUAACGGCCUACCAAGGCGAUGAUGCAUAGCCGAGUUGAGAGACUGAUCGGCCACAUUGGGACUGAGACACGGCCCAAACUCCUACGGGAGGCAGCAGCG
rnacentral:rRNA from 1 species